UUAGUAGUCCUCAAACAAACAACAAUGGCAGUUGCAACCUCAUUAUCUCUCUCAAAACUACACCUUCUUCCAAAACAAAAACAAACCCAAUUGACCUUAUCAACUCAAGCUCCAAACUUUCUCUUCUUUUCAAGAAAAAGAGCCCAAUUCCCAGCACCCAUUAUCAGUAUUCCAUCUCAGAACUUGAAAUAUAAUGCUGCCAUUGUUUUGGGUGUCACUGGACUUGCUUUUACAGUGUUAAAUGUGGGACCUGCCUCUGGUUCUGAAUUAGCUUUAAUGGGUUCUUCAUUCCAAUUUAAUGAACCCUCAAAUGCUCUCUCAUUACACACUUGGGCUAGUCAUGUUUCUAGUGUUGUUGAGUGGGUAACUGCUAUGGCUCUGGUUUGGCAAUACGGGGAGAAAUCAGGGUAUGAAUCUUGGAAGGGACUCUCCUGGGCUAUGGUCUGUCAACCAAGAUACAAAUUUAAACUUGUGGAUUUUGGCCGACCUUAGUGACAUUGCUCUCCAUCCGUGAAAUGCUUCAUAGGGAGUGGUGGCAGAAAACAUGUGCCCCUGCUCGGAGGAGCACUCUGCGCCUGCACUUGGCAUUUCUUUUAUAAUUCGGAGUCUCUUGAGGUAGUAGUGGCUCUCCAAGCAGCUUUGACAGCAAUUGGUAAUGCCACAAUGUGCUUUGCAGCAUUCCGGAUAUACAGAUUAUCACAGAAGCAGUCAAAAGAGCUGUGAGCGUAUAGCCGAGUGCAGUUUCUCCAGUCUCCUCAUCGGAUCAAAUCUCUGCGUCUAACUGGAAGAGGUAAAUAUGGCUCGUACUGAGACUACACGAUGUGUAGAAUGCGAUGAAGUGGUGGGUUCAUAGGAAGAACUAAGAAGUUUUCAGCAAGCUGAUACCUUUGUGGACUGAGCUCUAUCUCGGGAAGAAAUCAGAAGCGGAUCCAAGAUUUGAAUUUGAUUGGUUCGUCCUUUAAGGGUCAUAGACUGAACUUAUGUGUACUUCACAAUUAGCUUUGACAGAUUUAAAUCACAUUUACUUUUUAAACUGUAAACAUAUUCGAGACAAUAGCCCUGACUUUUAACACCAAAUGCGCGGUGAAAUGAUUGAGAUUUCUUCUUGAGUUCGUGAACUAAGAAUGAAGAGUUUCUUAA